GAAAUUUAGAGUCAGCAGACCCAGAAUAGAUAAUGAAAGUGAUGGAUAUCUACUGAAAGUGUUGGGUCAAAAGAUUCUUAUCCAGAUGAUGCAGGAGGUC